CGGGAGCCGUGGAUAGUUAAGCUUAACUUUCUUAACUUUUCCCAUUCAUUCUCUAUGGUAGUUCUUAACACUACGGAUGCAAUAUGCUUUUGUCCACUACGCAUUUUGGCGCUGUUGCGCUGUUGAGCUGCUUUUUAAAAAAUAUUGGCAGCCAUCUUUGAAUCAUUUGUUGUGGUCGGCGUUACUGAUGACAGAUAUCGGACUGACUUUUUACUCUCAGAAAGUUGCGUCUGUGUCCCCCUUUAGGUUUGAGCCCUCGUCCUCCCAACUGACCCUGUGGCUCUCCGCUGCAGCAGAACUGGCCCUUGAGUACCGCCAGAAGGGGACCACUACCUAGAAGAUCAAGAGGGUGGACAGGGUGUGCAUGGAGGCAAGGGACACAGUGGCACUGAAAGGAGGCGCCCCCAGAGCGUGAUGUGCGCAGGCUGAUGGGUCGGGCGCCGAUACAGCUGUGUGAGCUAAAUCAAAGGGCACUCUCCCAAUGGUCCGUCAGAACACAGAGGGAGACAGAGAGGACUGUGGUGGCACCUUGACCAGGCACUGCAGACGGGCUCAGCAGGGUCGACCCAGAACCCAGUAGCAUCGGCAACGUAUCGUCCAGCAGCAGUGGACCCACAGCCCAGCAGCAGUGGCGGUGUAUCGUCUGACAGCAGCGGCCGGUUCAGCAGUGGCGGUGUAUCGUCUGACAGCAGCCGACCCAGGGCCCAGCAGCAUCGGCAGUGUAUCGUCCAACAUUAGCUGACCCAGGGCCCAGCAGCAUCAGCAGUGACAGCAGCGCACCCAGGAUCCAGCAGCAAUGGCGCUGUAUCAGCAGCGGACC